GCUGGUCGGGCAUAUCGCAUGAUUAAUUAGUACAGAUCGGCCAUCUCCUCGGCUAACCAAGGAUUUGACGGCUGCCCAGCAGGCCAACAUCCGUUAGUGUGCCGCUUACUUAGGGGCUCACGCCUGUCGCGCCCAGCUUGACCUCGUUACUCAUCUACAUGGGACGUUUCCUGCGUUUUGUCGCUGUUCUCCUCCUGGCCGCCCAAUGCAGAGCUCUCCCUGUUCUGUCUCAUUUCAUGCAAACGAGUAUCGGAUGUUCGUGCCCUGGACUAUGAUUCUAGGUCUUUCACUCCGGACAAGGUGACGUUUAACAUCUCCAGACUCUCC